UUUUUUUAAAAAAAAGUUAAAUUUAUAGUUUAAGUAAGAAUACUUAAAUAAUAAAAAGGGACGAUAAGACCCUGAAAGCUUGAUGCUAUGUUUUGUUAAUUUAGUUUUUGUUAUAAAAAUAAAAAUUUGUAAUUAGCUGGGGAAGUUUUUAUAUAAAAUCUGUAAUUUUAUUGUACUUAGGUUUUAUGAUCCGCUAGAUAGUGAUAAGUAGAGUGAGUUACUUCAGGGAUAACAGCAUAAUAAUUUUGUAGAGUU
rnacentral:rRNA from 1 species